ACAGGGUUGAGUUUAUUUCCUAAGAAAUUGGAUUAUUGAAAUUGUUAAAUGUAAUUGAGUCUCAAUGCACCCAAAACUGGCAGCAUUCACAAAAAAUAAAAUAAAACAGAGGAGUUCUAUACAAAUGUAACCUGGACAGAAAGAGGAAUUGCUUUAACUGUAUAGCUCUCAAUAACUCUUGCAGUAACAGUGUUAUUGUACCUGAAAAUUAAUUACCUCUAAACUACAUCCUCAAAUUAUACUCUAUCUAAGGAGUCAUAUAUUAAUACACACUUCUUCAACCCAACAUUUCUCUCAAUCAGUUUAAGUACAAAGUAAUGAUUAUCUUUUUACAUUCAGUCUUCUGAUACCAUAGAAAUGAAGUUAUUACAACAAAACAAAAAGUAAACAGCUGAAAAAUAUUUACUCAGAAUUACACAAUUAUUAAGAUUUCUCCUGGAGUAUGGCAAUGAUGAUAACACUGAAUGAAUCAAAAAAAAAAAAAAACAGAAUCAAAAUAGACAAAAAGGAGAUAUUAGCGGUGCUAAUGUAACACGGCCGGUAACACGGAGCUGACUCCUAAACAUCCCUGCUGCUGCUUUAAGGUUCGGAUUUUGUCAAGUUUAUUUUUAACGCAAUACUCACAAGCAAAUAGUGCAUGUACUGUAUACUGAGAGGUGUAAUAUGUCUCAAAAGGUUUGAGUGGCAACACGUUGGAGAAAAACUAUUUAUGCACUAUUUAUUGUUUUAGUUGUUGACAUUAUUUUGACUAUAAUGGUUUUGAAUUUAACUCAGAUUUGUUUAAAAUAUUCUGUUGUUUGGCAAAAUAUUGCAAUGUUUUGACAAUAAUUAAUAGUAAAAAUUAAAAAAUCAACAUAUGGUUUCUUCAACUUUCAUUCAGGAGCAAAAUCAGCCUUCAAAUUUUAAAGGAACAAUGAUUUGACUUUUUAUUGUGGGACGAUUAUCAAUAAUGACUGAUUUUUUUCUCGAGAUAACAUUGUUAGUUAUAUCGCCCUGUAAUCGCCUAUAAUAUCAGUAUAUCAGUACUUUUAUUCAGUAAAGGCUCUGAAUAUUUUUUCAACAACUGCACUAAUGUAUCCCCAAACUGAAAUAUGUGAGGCCUUUGCCCUGAAUAACAUCUGUAUUUGUUUUGUCCCCGUCCUUUUACAGUGUAUUCGCGAUACAAAGGAUGUGACAGGACGACCCAUCAAUGACGAUAUACAUUUGGCAUUGGAAAUCGGGGUUAAAUUCCUUCUUCAUACUCAGUGAACACAGCUGAUUUUGAGAUACUGUACGGCAAAAACACGCAACUUGGGGAGCAAACAAGAGACAAAAACAAGGUAAGGUAAAACUUUACAAAAUAUAUUAAUUUCAAUAUUCAGUAUUUAGUGGCUGUGCAGAAUUUCAA